UGUGGCCAAGUCAAACAUGCUCCAUUGCGGUUGCUUCCUGCAAGUAGGUUGACACUGGAACAUGAAUAUCAACUCUUUUUUUUUUCAGUUCAAAGUGCUCAGGUAAUAAUAUAUCGCCUCCCCGACCAAGCACUCGCUGGAAGUUGUUUGUUAUCAUCUGAAGCUCCCUGUAUGUGAACUGGCGGCUCUCGAGUCGCAACGAACCAUCCCCGCAGACAUCGUUUACCAUUGCAUAGCUUGUCGUCAUCGUUUACCAUUGCAUAACCGGUAAGGAGGGAGUAUAAAGCAUAGUACUCUAGUGAGUAUCUUGUAUCUAGUACAUGAGAAUGCAUGCAUUCAAGCCACCCAGGAUGGAAUUAAAGCUCCAUUCAUCACACCAUGCUACUCAACCGGGGAGCUGUCAGUCUCUACCAAAACCCAGGACAUGCUAAUAACAAAGAGCAAACAAAAGACUUGGAACUAAUUGAGUCAAGCACGUACGUUCAUACCCGAAAAAAACCCCACAUGAUCUAAUCGAGUUUUAAAUCCUAACCUCUGUACUUCUAUGUCUGCUGAUUUUUCCUACCCUCUACUUUUUCACAUGAUAGCCUAGAUGAAUCAACAUUGUCAACACACAGGUAAUAAUGCAGCAUUAAUAUGAACGCAGGGCUCUGAAUUGAUACACCAGUACACCACAAUUAUACAGACAUAAAAUGAGAUUUGGCAGAACAAACCACAAAAAAACGGCAGCCCCACACUUGCUAAGAGAUAUUCAAGGCGUGCAGGCUCGAGCCAGACACAUUUAAACGCCCGACCAUUGGCUAGCCCACCAUCCCAUUUAAGAUGUCUAUCACAUACGUGUAUUCAUUUAAUGUGGACUGUGCGGCUGGGACGUAUAACGCGAGUAUUCGUGCGGUGUGUGAAUUUACGCGGCGCGUAUUGCAAAAGUGCUAAUAAAAGUAGCAAUCACAGCGCGUCGCCGGACGGCCUCGAUAACGGCAGCGCGUAGCCGCAUGUCCCAAAAAUUCAUGUCCGCGCAUAUACACCCUAUAUAACAAAUAGUAAUUAUCAAAAAGUAAAAAAAAUGUUUUUGAAAUAAACUUGACCUUCUGUUGUACUCGUAUAAAAAGUUUGGGCAAGGAAGAACUUUCAUGGUAUUUUUUGCUGGGAAAAAAAUAAUAUCAACACUAUAUAAAGUUACUAUUCAAACUUUUGUCUUUGAAAUAUUGUUGUUUUGCCCUGAAGUUGAUGUCAGUUUUUCCCUCUCAAAACUUUUUAUACGGGUAGAAAAGAAGAUAUAGUUUAUUUCAAAAAAGUUUUAGAAACUUUUGAAUUUUUUCGUAAUUACUUUUUUUCCCUAUCAGGUAUAUAUAAAUCCGAGAAACAAAGGGUAUUUGUAAUGAAAAUUGUAAACCCACGUUCUACAUGAUUUAUUAAUCCGGAAUAAAAUAAACCAAGGUAAGUAGUUCAUCGCUAUGAACAACAACUUGAUUUGAUCAACAUUAGAAAAAAUGAACGUACAUAAAGCAUGUCACCAUGAUUGGAGAACAAUGAAAGUAUUACAUAAUCCUUUACUGAAUAGGAAGCAUUUUAUUAAACAAUAUGUUGGCCGCGCAGAGAGAAGUUGUCUGAAGAUUACUGGAAAUAAGAUAAGUAAAUUUAAGAUGAUAAGUUCAGUAGUAAUGUUUAGUGUAGGAACAGUUGACUGUCCAGUACUGGAAGCAAGGAUUUUAGGUUCUGUCAUCUCCAUAAAUCACCGGAGUGCUGAAGUGUUAAUCUUCAAUUCUUGUCGCGGGCGCGAAGUGCAAAAUCUGGAGGUACAGCGAGUUGAAGCCAAAAGUGACGGAUACAGGUACAGAGUGUAAGAGGAUUUGGCAGUUGGUAGAUGAGACACUGGUUUAAUGCCAUGCGGGCCUGAGUCAGAAGUACAGGACAGUACGAAUUGAUAAAUUGUAGGUGUGACAGAAUAUAGGAGGGAAAGUCAGAAUACUGAUAGCAGAUGGGGGGAUCGGGAGGGUAAUGAAUGGUGAGAUUCCAGGGACAGAUGUCCCCAGGAACCAACAGGCAUUUCCCGCAAACUUACCUUAGAUUCAGGGAGCCAUCUUGAACACUUUUGAGAAGUCCGGAGGGAAUUUGAUCCAUUGAGCUGGUUGGCUGACAAAUCCUUGUAUAUGAACAAAAUAGUAUUUGCAUGACUCAAAGUAAUUGGGGGGAAAGGAUCAAAAUGUUACAAAACUUGCUCAGCUUAAAGAACAGUCAAUGAAGUCAACUGCGAAAGGGCAUUUGGAAUUGAGCCUGUCAAGUUAUUGUUUGACAGAUACCUGAAACAUCUGAAAACCCCCCUCUGAAACCACCUUUAUUCAAGAACAAGAAAACCACACAUAAAUCUUCUCCAGAAACAAAGAAACUAUAAACGAGGCAGUUUCAUGUAGUCAUGUAAUAUGCUCCAAUAUAUCUCGUUAAUUCUGUCUCCAACAAAGUCAGUACAGUACUACUCCCUCUGUACGCUAAUGUAAGAUGUUUUUUUUUCUUUCUUCUAAUUCGAAUGUAUAUAGACAUAUUUUACUGUGUUUGUUCACUCAUUUCAGUCCAUAUGUAGUCCAUAUUGAAACCCAGCCUUUUUUACCAGCACCAAACAAACAUGCUAGGAUAAUCUUCUCUACGCAAGACAAGGACAAAGCAAAGAACUGUUAACCGUUUACCAAUAGCUUAUUUUCCAUCCUCUAUGUGGACAGUUUCUGAUAGAUAGGUGAGCCUGGCUGGCCUUCUCUCCGUUUGGGCUGUUGCUUUGCCAGGUAAGUGAAAAUCGGUCUAAACAGCAAAAAAGAACCAGUCACGUUUUCUCUACUUGAUCUAGGUGUUGCCGUCGAAAGCAAAUCGUUCUGCACAAAAAAAGGGUGACUGGAACAACAAGUUCCAGGCACCCGUGUCAUAGACGCUCCCAACAUUAAGACAGAUGCUGCAAGAUAUUAAUUACCAUUGUGCACAAUGAUAGUAAUUUACAUGCUAACUGAAAGCUGCCGACGACACACUCAAAACAAAGACCCAUUCGUUCUAUCUGAGACCAUAGAGAUGAACACAUCUCGCGACUAGUACAUUAUUAUCCAAGGGGAGAUUUCUAACUUUUUGUUUUUUUGCCUUUUGCUUCUCAAGCGCCAAAUCUGAAAACAGCGAGACACAUUGAUGAAUGAUGGGAGGCGGUGAUCUAC
rnacentral:lncRNA from 1 species